rnacentral:lncRNA from 1 species
ACUCAGUGAACAGAGAGAGAUAAGUGGAGUGAGCAGGGCCAACCCGAGCAAGCAGAGGUCCUAAAAAAAAAUUCAAUUCCCAACAACCACAUGAAGGCUCACAACCAUCUGUACAGCUAUAGUGUAUGCACAUUAAAUAAAUAGAUAGAUAAAUAAAUAAAUAAAAUGUAAAAAAAAUAAAUAAAAAGAAAAAAACCCUCUUGAGGCCUGGUAUACAGUUCAAAGAUGGAGUACUAGCUUGUCAGGUGUGAAUCCGUACAUUUAAUUUCCUGCUCCUGAAAGAAAUGUUCAUUUAUAAUAAGCUGUAUACUUGCUUUACCUAUAAGUACGUCUCAGCUGCCAUUACCAUGCUUUACACAUAAUGUAGAAGAACGUUCUAAGUGAAAUUUAGAAUUGGGCAAACGCUUUCUUUACUUUUACUAAUGGUAAGCAUUGGCUAAGAGAUGCAUACAGCUAUGAGGAUACUAACAUCGCUUGUCUUUUAGUUCAGGCUUCAGUCAGACAGUUUUUAUCACCAGUAUUUUAACAGCACAAUACAGAGAAUUGCAUUGUGAUGGGUAGACUCUAAAAAGGUAAAUUUAUGAGCAGUUUUCUGACCUCAUAAAUUUAUUGCCACCUGGUCCCUUCUGAGGCCAUUAUAAUUAUUAAUGGAAGUAUUUUAAGCAUUUUUUAAAAAGCAUGGUUUAUGUAUGGUAGAAACUAAAAGUUCCCAAUAGCUGAACCAUAUGUAGUUUUCUUGGAGUCAGUCAGUCAACGGAAAGGAACAGAAGGCCGUAUUGAAGAGACUCCUGAGUCGUGGUGUGAUUUGUCUCUCUCUUGUCAGCGUCCAUUCAUAUUGAGUAGAACAUUGCUUAGCCAUGAAAGCCAAAGGUGGAGAAAAUUCACUGUCUUCAUGGGAUGUACUGUUUGUCUUCAUAGCUGUGCGGUGUACAGUGACAUCAAAUACAUUUAAGAAUAAAUCUCAGAAACAAAAGAAAGAAUAUAUGUCAUAUUUCGAAGGCUUAAAAGUGAUGAUAGACCUGUUUAAGUUAAUUGUAGAGCCAGAUGAUGGUGUAAUGCGAAUCAGUGAUUUUAAAUAAUUUUAAGUGCAAGAUGGAGUCUUUUCUUUCACUCCUAAAAAGUUGAAGUCGUUUAUAAUGUUUCUCAAGCUCAGAUGUUUUUAUAAUAAGAAUAUUAUAAAAGCAAGGUUCAUUUUCCUCCAGAUUUACAUUCUGAGUUAGCUGGUAAAGAGUCUAUUAAAAAUGAGAUGACAAAUUGAAAAAAUUGAAGUCUUCCAUUUCAGUCAGCUGUUCUAAAAGAAAAAUGCCUAGUGAUCUGGGAAAAUAAAGGAAGUUUAAAUUUGUGAUUGAGAGUAAGAAAUGUUUCUGUGGUUUUGAAAAAGAAAUACCAGCAUGUCACAUUAAAAUUAUGGCAUCUACAGUUCUGUACAGUUAACAGAAAAACGUAUUACAUCAGGGAAUAGGAUGUGCUUCAGAGACCUCAUGUAGGGCCAUGAGAGAAAAGCAAGUGCCAUCACCGGCUUGCGCAUUAAUAAUCCAGUCAGCGGAAGAAUUUUCCUGUCUCCCAUGUAACAUAAACCAGAUGUUCCAUUCUAUUAAAACUCCUUACUAAUGCGGAUAUUUAGAUCACUGGUCACUAGGAAAAAAAUGAGUAAUAGCAAUCUAGUACUUUUGCCAGUUUGUCCUGUUGUGAGAUAAUGUUGGCAGUCAGGAGACUAGAAGGUUUCCUGCCAAAUACGACUAAAUCUCAUCACUCUGUUUUUAUCUGUUGUGUUUUGUAAAUUUGAUCUAUUUUCUUUUAAAAAAAAGC